AUUGAACGCUGGCGGCAGGCUUAACACAUGCAAGUCGAGCGGAGAUGAGGUGCUUGCACCUUAUCUUAGCGGCGGACGGGUGAGUAAUGCUUAGGAAUCUGCCUAUUAGUGGGGGACAACAUUCCGAAAGGAAUGCUAAUACCGCAUACGUCCUACGGGAGAAAGCAGGGGAUCUUCGGACCUUGCGCUAAUAGAUGAGCCUAAGUCGGAUUAGCUAGUUGGUGGGGUAAAGGCCUACCAAGGCGACGAUCUGUAGCGGGUCUGAGAGGAUGAUCCGCCACACUGGGACUGAGACACGGCCCAGACUCCUACGGGAGGCAGCAGUGGGGAAUAUUGGACAAUGGGGGGAACCCGGAUCCAGCCAUGCCGCGUGUGUGAAGAAGGCCUUAUGGUUGUAAAGCACUUUAAGCGAGGAGGAGGCUACUGAGACUAAUACUCUUGGAUAGUGGACGUUACUCGCAGAAUAAGCACCGGCUAACUCUGUGCCAGCAGCCGCAGUAACAC
rnacentral:rRNA from 1 species